rnacentral:rRNA from 1 species
UGGGGAAUAUUGCACAAUGGGGGGAACCCUGAUGCAGCGACGCCGCGUGAGGGAAGAAGGUUUUCGGAUUGUAAACCUCUGUCCUCUGUGACGAUAAUGACGGUAGCAGAGGAGGAAGCCACGGCUAACUACGUGCCAGCAGCCGCGGUAAUACGUAGGUGGCGAGCGUUAUCCGGAAUUACUGGGUGUAAAGGGAGCGUAGGCGGGGGAACAAGUUGAAUGUUUAAGAUAUGGGCUCAACUCAUAUAAGCGUUCAAAACUGUUUUUCUUGAGUGAAGUAGAGGUAAGCGGAAUUCCUAGUGUAGCGGUGGAAUGCGUAAAUAUUAGGAGGAACACCAGUGGCGAAGGCGGCUUACUGGGCUUUAACUGACGCUGAGGCUCGAAAGCGUGGGUAGCAAACAGG